GCCCCACUGGCUCAAUGGUAGAGCAUUAGACUUUUAUUCUCUUGUCUACGAUGUAGAAGAGAUCUAAUUCUAUAGAUCAUGGCAGCGAAUAACAAAUCUACAGGUUGCGGGUCCCCCGCGUGGGGUU